rnacentral:ncRNA from 1 species
GGCCGAUUCCAAGCUGCCCGACGCUCAGUCAGGUUACGAGAAGGGCAUCACCGACGUGAUGGCGGGCCUUUCCGGGCUCAAUCUGGUCUACGAGUCG